rnacentral:lncRNA from 1 species
AUGGCUAAUUCUGAGACGAAAGAAAGGUCUAAAACCAAAGUUGGGAAAGGCAGAAGGAGGAGAUGGAUUUGGGAGACAAGGCAACAACAGAACCUAACAGCAUGCUGUGCAGAGGAUGAACAGGAGACACAAAUACUGAAGUUCAACUGUAAGUGGCUGAAAGAAUGCUACAAAUUAUUCAAUAAAAACAGGAGAGAGGAGGAAAUGUCUACAAAAAAAUUAAUAUUAGGUGCUGAAUGCAGUGAAUAGAUGAACACUAUGGAGACCAUUUAUUGUUGAGAUUAAAGUAAACCCCAAAAUAUCACCAAAGAGCAGCCACCUUUAAAGAAAAUCAAGAUGAACUGGAAAACCACUGACAUCUCCUGAAAGCAUGCUGAAACAAAGGUGAUGAUUCCAAAAAAAAAAAAAAAGAAGAAGUUAUAGUAGAGGGGUGUCCAAAAAAGGGAUAUCUGUAAA